GCCUCGGUGGUGUAGUGGUGGCACGCGCCUCCGAUAAGGGUUAGGUGCGAGUUCAAAUCCCACCUGAGUCG